rnacentral:rRNA from 1 species
GACUACAUGAAGCUGGAAUCGCUAGUAAUCGCGGAUCAGAAUGCCGCGGUGAAUACGUUCCCGGGUCUUGUACACACCGCCCGUCACACCAUGGGAGUCGGAAAUGCCCGAAGUCUGUGACCCAACCGGAAGGAAGGAGCAGCCGAAGGCAGGUCUGAUGACUGGGGUGAAGUCGUAACAAGGUACC